rnacentral:antisense_RNA from 1 species
UGUGGGAGCUGGCUUGCCUGCGAUAGCGGUGGUUCAGUCGGUAUUUCUGGUGACUGAUACACCGCUAUCGCAGGCAAGCCAGCUCCCACA